GUUUAGUGUCUGUCUGGUCCCUCCAAGGAACAGCACAUACUCAAGUACUGGUUUUUUUCCUCCUUACAGGGUAUUCAGGAAGUCUUAAACAGGAAUGUUCUCAUCCUUGGAGCCCCUAGGCAGCCCUGUAAGGCAAAGUGGGUACUGGACAGAACCAAAAGUGGGGGAGGAACAGAGAUCCAGGACCUACAGAAAAGCAGAAAUCCACUGGGCUCAGUCAAAUAAUCAUCACGUCACUGCUUUGCCUGGUGUUGCUGGGCUGGGGCACCCACUGACUAUGUCCACAGUCAAGCCCUUCUUCCCUGCACUAACGGAAGGCCCAUGUGGCAGAGCCAGGAUUUCUGGCCACCAGGCUUACCUCUCCUCUACUGGGAGCAAGUCUUGGAGCCUGCCGCAUCCAGAACCAGGCUCUUUGGAGCUGAAGAUGAAUUGCCAUGUGCUGGUGCUAAUAGAAGUCCUGGAGAAAUACGCAGGUAAUGAAUGCUAGGGGAGUUUGUGAUGGGCAGUGGGAUGAAUGCUUCCUGGAGAAAUGAAAUAGUUCAGUGCCCUCUGGAUGCCCCAUCUAACCCCUAUUCCAUCAUUGAGUAAUCUGAGUCGGUAUUUAUCAGGGAGACCUCACCCAUGCCCUCCAUGACUGUGUAUCUGUAUACAGUGUACCACUCUAUCAGAUCCAGUUCUGCACUGUGAUUACUAUCCAGGAUCUUUUUCCAUAACUGACAUGUACCUGGAUCCAGACACUGCUUAUUCCCUUUUCAUCAUGUUUGAGGACAGAAAAUGUGUGCACUAUGGAGACACCAAGCAGAACUGCCUGACAGUCCUGAGAGAUUUUACCGCUACAAUAUCAUCCUGGGCAGUCAGUGCAUCUCCUCAGGCCGCCACUACUGGGAGGUGGAGGUGGGAGACAGGUCUGAAUGGGGCCUGAGAGUGUAUAAGAAAAGGUAGACUGGAAGGAAGUGGUCUAUUUAUCCCCCCACUAUGGAUUCUGGGUGAUAAGGCUAAGGAAGGAAAAUGAGUAACCGGCAGCACUGAUGAACACACCCUCUGGCCCUUGCCUGUCCCUCCCUGCCAAGUGGGGGUCUUUCUCUAUCAUGAAGCCCAUGAUAUCUCCUUCUACAGUGUCACUGACAACAGCUCCCAUAUUUUCACUUUCCCCCACUAUCCCUUCCCUGGACAUCUCCUGCCUUGUUUUAGUCCUUGCUACAGCAUUGAUGCCAAUAACACUGCUCCUCCAGCUAUCCACUCCCUGAGCAGCGAGGACUAAGAGAGCCCCCAUCCUAGCCAGAAGCCUUGGAAUUUUAUCUGGGCUGCCAGGGUCUUGGUGGGCCCUGCCGCUGACAAGGGUUCCCUUGAACUGAGUUGAUCCGGCAAUCCAGGGAUUCCUCUGCCUGACCCAGUGCCCUGUUGCUACUGAGCCAAAGUCUCUCUCUAAACCACUCAGGGGAAAAAGCUGAGGCUCUAUCAUAUGAGCAGUGCACCCCUAUGAGGGA
rnacentral:lncRNA from 1 species